rnacentral:rRNA from 1 species
UUAAGCAUAUCAAUAAGCGGAGGAAAAGAAACUAACAAGGAUUCCCCCUAGUAACUGCGAGUGAAGCGGGAAAAGCUCAAAUUUGAAAUCUGGCGGUUCUCUGGGCCGUCCGAGUUGUAAUCUAGAGAAGUGCUUACCUGUGCUGGACCGUGUAAAAGUCUCCUGGAAUGGAGCAUCACAGAGGGUGAGAAUCCCGUCUUUGACAUGGACUGCCUGUGCGACAUGGUGCGCUCUCGAAGAGUCGAGUUGUUUGGGAAUGCAGCUCAAAAUGGGUGGUAAAUGCCAUCUAAAGCUAAAUAUUGGCGAGAGACCGAUAGCGAACAAGUACCGUGAGGGAAAGAUGAAAAGAACUUUGGAAAGAGAGUUAAACAGUACGUGAAAUUGCUGAAAGGGAAACGCUUGAAGUCAGUCGCGUCGGCCGGAAAUCAGUCUGCUUCUGCUUGAUGUACUUUCUGGUCUGACGGGUCAGCAUCAGUUUUGACCUCUGGAUAAAGUCAUUGGGAAUGUGGCAUCUCAGGAUGUGUUAUAGCCCGUUGUCGCAUACAGUGGUUGGGAUUGAGGAGCUCAGCACGCCCGCGAGGGCCGGGUCUCCAAGACCACGUUCGUGCUUAGGAUGCUGGCAUAAUGGCUUUAAUCGACCCGUCUUGAAACACGGACCAAGGAGUCUAACAUGCCUGCGAGUGUUUGGGUGGAAAACCCAUGCGCGCAAUGAAAGUGAAAGUUGAGAUCCCCUCGGGGAGCAUUGACGCCCGGACCAGACCUUCUGUGACGGAUCCGCGGUAGAGCAUGUAUGUUGGGACCCGAAAGAUGGUGAACUAUGCCUGAAUAGGGUGAAGCCAGAGGAAACUCUGGUGGAGGCUCGUAGCGAUUCUGACGUGCAAAUCGAUCGUCAAAUUUGGGUAUAGGGGCGAAAGACUAAUCGAACCAUCUAGUAGCUGGUUCC